UCUGCUGUCAUGUUUGUUUUGGGUUUGCAGUAGCGCUUUUUUCUCUCCUAUUCACGCGGCAUCAUAUUUAUAUAAUGUUUCAGAUACUCCAGGAAUGCCAGUCUGAGUAGGCCUAUGUUGCUGCAGAGGAAAGAGAUGGCUUCACUGCUGACGGGGUCCCAUCAAUUGAUGUGUCAAGAAGAAGUUGCAGAGCCUUGGUCAAACCAGAGGUUGCCAGGAUGUCAAACCCUGGGUGGGAAGUAUAAUAAACCAUCUGUACUGGGCUGUGGUCUCGACGCUUCCUGGCAAUGUUCAACUUGUGGUGGACAAAUGGACAGUCAGUCAGUUAUGGAUCACAUCCACAACAGGCAUACAGGAUUCGAGGGACUGUUCUCUUCUUGUGCACACGGAGCCUGUGUCACUUUUCAUACAAAGGGAUGGAGAGCAGGCUAUGCUGAAGAGCUGAUGCGGAUGGUGGAGGCCAUGUGUCGAGGUGAAUACUGCUGUGAGGACUUUGACAUUCCAGACCCAUUCCCUGUUCCAGAGCCACUUAGUGCAUCAUGUGAAAAGCCGGAUAAGAGGGCAGCAGUCAGUACACACACAACCCGCUUUAGCACCACAAACAACCCUUCAAUAUAGACAUUACCAAAAGUUUGAUGCAGGUAAUUCCAAAACCACAGUACAGGGUGUGUUGGUAGGACACUUUAUUUAUUUAUUUAUUUAUUUUUUACUUUUUUUACACUUAUGCAUACAAAUGGUUCCAACUCAGGUGACUUAUCUGAGUAAAAAGUAGACCAAUGUACUUGUCUUAUUUUCAGCUGAUUCUCCACUGGUUGGAUUGAGUUUGCGGUGAUAGUAUGUGUAGCUCUGCUCCAGCAGGGGGUGCCAAAGCUACACACACACUAUCUGGUGUGAACCAGGCCAGGUCCUGGUUAGGUUUUUAGUGUUUUUUAGUAAUGACAGUCUCACUGUACAUAAGGUACAAUGGCAUAAAUGGUGUUACAGUUAUGUAUUAUAUGCUACUGUUGUAAUUACACCACAAAUGUACUCAUACUUUUGUUUAAAAUUGGACAGAGCUGGACUGCAUGUAAUAAACACAUUUAUUUUCAUAUUUUCUGUGAGUGCAUUGAUCUACUGUGUUGGGAACCACCUGCCCCAUCCUCCCCUUGGGGUUCUGAAAAAGGUUAUUACAGGGUGUGUAAUAUUAGCUUUAGUCAUUUGAGAUGGAGAGACCUUGAGGUGAUAUUUUGAAUAUCCUACCCACUCAUUUCAUGUCUGUGUUGCUACAGUGCCCCCCAAUACCCAUGUGGGCUUUCAUUGUAUUGUCCCAGAAGUACUGCACAACAUCUUGGACACCACAUGAUAAAGAAUACUAGAUAAGCUUACAUGGUGGAGGUGUAAGUU